ensembl:lncRNA
UUUUUUUUUUNUUUUUUUUUUUUUUUUUUUGCCUUUUAGGCCUGCACCUACGGCAUAUGGAGGUUCCCAGGCUGGGGGUCCAAUCAGAGCUGUAGCUGCCGGCCUACACCACAGCCACAACAACACCAGAUCCAAGCUCCAUCUGUGACCUACACCACAGCUCACAGCAACGCCAGAUCCUUAACCCACUGAGUGAGGCCAGGGAUCAAACCCAUAACCUCAUGGAUGCGAGUCGGAUUCGUUAACGGCUGAGCCACGACGGGAACUUUCACACACGGUACCACAUUUAAUUAAUUCUCACGACAACCUUGGAGGGUAGGUACGAUCACACUCCCAGUUCCGCCGAGACACGGAGCCUCGGAAGAAGCAGACAGUUUGUCACUGGCCCCCGUGGGGCUCAGCUCAGAGUCUGUGUCGGGUUUUGUGGACUCCAAGUGCGAAUUCUGAGGAUGACACACAAGGGCGCUUGAGGGUUUGUACUGGCACCGGGUCACCCUCUUGCCAGGCCGGCUGUCCUAGAAGGGCUCUCGGGCCCGCGAGCACCGAAUUCUUUGCCUUCUCCGUGUUUGAAUCCGCUGUCGCUGGCUCUUCUUUCUUCCUGGUAAUGAAGCAAAACCUGGUGGGUUAAUUAAUCCUGCCUGGUGCUGGGCAGGAGUAAUAGGAUCAAGAAGAAAGCCUUUCCCUCCUGUGCUCUCAGGGGUGCCUGGCGGGAGCCCAUGAGGAGAUGGAACACAGCCUUCAGUCUGUUAAUUGUUUCAGAGCAAAUCAUCCGUCAGAAGGAAACAGGAAAAAAGAAAAAAGAAAAAAAAAGACACCGCUGAAUUCAGAGUCAGAACAAUAAAUAACAUUCAGCACUAUACCCUGGAGAAAAAUAAAGCUGCUGGCAUUCUGCUUCUCAGGGAAAACAAAAAAUGCUCAGUGUUUGUGCAGACGUGUGGAACACACAGUGUGAUGCAGUGGAAAUAUGGCAGCCUGGGUGGACUGGUGGUCUAUUUUAUCCACCCAGGGCCCACCGAACCCUACCCUCCACUCAGCACCCCGGCCCCAGACAGCUAGGGAAAAAUGAUCCUGCAAAUAGCAAAUGAAUUUCCUAAUAGCAAAUCCCUUUGGGGGAAGAGGAUAGAGGGGCGAAUUGCCACCACCUCACACCAGUCUCCCUGCUUCAACCCCUGUGCUCCCAAAUCCACCCUAAGUGGCUCCCCAGAGCCUUAAGGAUAAAUCUGGGCCCUCUGCAGGUUUGCUGCCACACACCUCCUGCUUCGGCAGCACCCAAAGGCCCCUGGUGCCACACUCAGGACGCGGCUCCACUCUGAGCCUCGGUCUCUUCUUUCCUCUCUCCGUCAAGUGUGCCUUUUUCUCUCCUGGCUAAAUCCUCCUUAGUCCUCAAGGACCAUCGACUGUCACCACUGCCUCUCCUCGAGCCUGUGCUGCCAGAGCCUCUGUGACACUCUCCGUCACCCCCAAAGCGACAAUCCAGUGCCGUGGUCCUGCAAACAAGACACCCGAGUCUCAUCAGCCAGAUCUGAGUGUAUUCUGGGCUGUGUUUUGCUUCUGUGAUCUUGGGUGAGUUUCUUGACUGCUGUGUGCCUCCGUUCCCUGCUUAUAACAUGGGGAAGAGACAGUAACAGUCUCUACUUCAUAGAGCUGUGUGAGAUUAAAUCAUUUAAUACGUGCAAAUUACUUAGAAACUGUGUUCGUUGUAAGCUGUUACAGCCAUUAAUUCUGUUUCCCUGCAAUCAUGUCAGGUCCAUCUUCCUCUCUCAGCUGUGCCUUCACUGACGGAACGGUUCCUAUCUCAUCUGUUCCUUUAUGCCUAGCACUUAGGGAACGGUCCCCAAAUACCUGCUUCCCUUGUCCUAUAAUUUAAGCAUCCCUCCCCACUGCUUGUCUUGCAGUACUUUCCUAAGGGAAAAGUAGUUCCCUGCCUAUUGAUGGCACACAUGACCAUGUGACUUGUUUUGGCCAAUGAGGUGUGAGUGGUGCUGAUGGUGGACAAUUUCAAAAAGAAGCUUCAAGAAACACUAGACGACAUCACCAAUUCCCCUCCCCACUCUGCCAUAACAACUGCAUGUCCCAGGUACAGGUUGCUCCUUCACCCAAGAUCUGAGAAGCUGGCACAUACCUUGGACCAGGACCACAGCUGACAUGCAACUAGUACGUAACAAGAAGAAGAGCCAAGUGUUCGACUGUAAAAGCCACUGAGGUUCGGGGUUUGUUCCUUAACACGAGAACCCAGCCAAAGCUGACUAAUUAGUCUCAACAAAGGUUUACUGAAUAAAUGGAUGCACUGACCAAAGAAUAAAUGAGUGUGUUAUGGUUUGUACAGUUCCUAGCAAGAAUGAUGGCUCUGUGUGGAC